AUGGACGAAGUCGUCCCACGAACGGCCGAUGCAGGCACCACAACAGCAGCUCGUUACCGAAAUAUCAGGGGCGCAUAUGAUGUACAGGAUCAUCUCGUCCAUGCCAUGGAACAAAGCCACCUGCUUGACAAGCUCCAAACAGAGGUAAGGCUUGAUGCCCCGCUGGAUCAACUAUCUUUACAAUAUUGUUGUGACUUUCUAAUGACUGUAGCCCAUUUUUUCUUCAUUGUUCUUUGGUCUUUUUUGGGAGAUUUAACAAGUUUCUUUCAAAUUAUCACAAAUGGAGAUGCUUUUCUGAACCAUUAUGUAAAAGAAUUGGAAUCACUGACAGAUUAA
rnacentral:rRNA from 1 species